AUAUUUCUUCUGGUGUCUUUACUCGUUCCUGCGUCUGUACAGAAUGUGCAUCAACCGAAGCAGCGUAGCAACACUUGAAUCUAUACUCAACCGUGUUUAUGUUUGGCAUACCAGACUGGUUCUUUACCUGGAGAAACGGUAAAUUUCCUAUUUCUUCAUCAUUUUAAUGGGUAUUUAGACAGCCUUUUUUCAGCAGCCUCUUCAUCUUUUGCUCACUUUCCUCUUCCAAUUGGAAGCCACAUCGCUACUGUUUAUCACUAUGGUUUUGCAAAUCUUAUGCUACGAAGGUAUGUUUUUUUUGGAUUGUAUGGUUGUUGAGGCUUAUGAAUGUUUCACUAAUCUGCUAAAGCAUGUUCUUUGCAGAUCUGUUAAUUGCAAUCAGGUGAAUUAAAUGUUUGACAUAUGAGUGUUGCAUAUUUUUUUUAUUUACUUUUGAUGGUUAAUAUAUAUUGGCUGUUAAUUUGGUAUGAUCUUCGAGUUGUAGAGUAUUCUAUAUUCCUAUCACUGGAUGCGGGUGACACUCACCUCAACAAGUUUCUACAGAUCAAAUAGAUUUCUGGUUGUAUGUUUGAAUAUAUAAAUCUUAUGAUCGAUUGUCUUCUAGCUAAGCCAUUUGGAAGCCAUAUAGAUUCUGUCUAAAUUGGUUGUGUAUUGCAGAGUUAGAGAUGCAAGGUUUAUUGAAAUUGGUUUUUUGAAAGGUUUAUUUGAAUGUUUGCAUAGCUUUGAUGUGGGCUUUUGUUUAUCACAUUUGAUUCGUGAGAACGAGAGGGAGAAGAAUCAAUGGAAAUCAUGAGCUUGAGGAAGAUGAUUGAAGAAGGAAUGGCUGCGUCAGGGAGAAGGACUGCUCUGCUUCUGUUUGCUUUACUUUGUUUUAUCAGCAAAAAAAAAUUUUAAAGGAAUGAGUAAGUUUACCGGUAACAGGUAAAAUGGUAUGCUAGCGGGAAAUAUGUAUCAAAGUUCGUAUUAUUCAUGGUUAAUUGAAAGUUCA